UUUUCAAUACGCGAUAUUAUACAAGUAAUCGUUAAACGUAUUUAAGAAUACGGGAAGUGAGUGUGUAGUAAUUUUCAUUCCAACGCAAUAUUAUGAAGUAUUCUAUAUAAAAUACAUGCUAUGUGUAUAUAUUUUGCUGUUAUAUGUGUGAAUGUAUAUUCACUCUCUUCUAUCUCAUAGAUCUGAUAUAUUCUCUAUGAAAUAUGUGUUAUGUGUGUAUGCCUCAUCUGUUAUGUGGAAUAUGUAUUGAUUAAAGCAUGCUAUACAGGUUUUUAAACAAUGUAUAAAAAUGUAUAUUUUUUUCUACUAAUAUGUUGGGUAGAACAUGGGUAGAUAAUUGGUGUGAAAUAAACAGAUGAGAGGCCUCGGUGUUAUUGGUGUUAUUCUAGUCAUUCAGCAGAGUAUGGAUGACGACCACAGACUAUUCUAGACUGUCCUGUGGAACACUAGCAGGCUCAUUACCUGUAGGUGUUGUGAACGACGUGUUCACCGGUGUACUCUAUCCCCCACAUGGUUGCCUUUAGGGCACUUAUUGUUGAGGAAGCCCCUCUGCAGUAAUGUCCGUCCCGAUGAAAAUCCUGAAUUAGGUUCCUUAUAAUAGAAGUUAUUUUAGGGACGUAAAGUGAGGAUAACGGGAAUGGGUAAUCGGGUUUUAUUGUGGAUUGGUGAAAUUAAAUAUAAUUAUUUAUUGUGGGUUGAAAACCCUAUAUGCUCACCAGGCUCCCAAGCCUGACCCACUCAGUUUAUUUGUAUUACAGGAAGUGGCGCAAGAGCUUAAGAUGGGCGAAUCAUCAAGUUGUUUUGUUUACAAGUCUGUAUAUGUAUAUAUUUGUUGAACGACUUGUAAUGUUAUCGUUUAUGCUUUAUGAUCUAUAUCGGAACAUGACAUCCCGACUUUUGAUUAUGAAAUGAAAUCAUAUUUCUAUAUGAAAUGUUUUGAUAAAUAUCUAUUUUAUCAUGUUUUGUUUUUGGGAACAAAUUCCGCAUCUCUUUUAAAAUCAAACGGAUUUACUCUGAAAAUGUUUUAAAAAGCAUAAAGGAAAUCGGUCUUUUCUGGCCGAGAUUUUGGGGAUGUCACAGUUGGUAUCAGAGCAUUAGUUUAAGCGAACUAGGAAUUUGUAGGAUUUCUAGACUUAAACUUAGUAUGCUAAGUGGAGAUUGUGAGAUGUGUGUCUGAUGAAUUUUAGACACGAGCACUAGUUUAUUUUAGGAAAGUUGCCUAAAAUGCUUUUAUGUGCUAAAUGUUAUAUGUUGCCAUAUAUGAUAUUAUUUGUUCGGAUCUACGGUUUGUUGCCAACCGGAUCUGAAGGUUUAUGUGUUUAGGAUUCUAAGCGUAUGUAUACGAUAUUAGAACUAGCAUGUAAUCGUUUGGAGUAAUAAGGUGAAAUUAUUCGGUGUGUAGAUCAAAAAUGGUGAGAACAAGAAGCGGAGUUGGAAAUGCUGAUGAAAACAGGAAUCAACCGCCUGUAAUUCAACAAGUACCUGUCGUAGCUGAUGCACCUGAGCCGAUAACAAUGGCUGGUGUACAAAUGAUGAUUCAAAUGAUGUUGGAUCGUCAGAUGGAAGAAACAAGACGCCUGCUUAGGCAGAAUCGUGAAGAACCGUCAAUUCAAGCGGAAGAGCCCGAGGAGAAUGGAGGGCAGUCUGAAGGAGAAAACUUUAGUGGAAUCAUUGGUCAAGACGAACAACCAGUGGUUAGACGCAAUAACCAGUAUGGAGGAAAUGAUGGUCGUGGGUGCAAGUAUAAGGAUUUCAUGGCAUCCAAACCACCAUGUCUAUCCGGAAGCCCGACGCCGGUGCAAGUUAUGGACUGGGUCUCCGAAAUGGAGACUAUGUUUGAAAGUUGCGAAUGCAGCAACAGGCAGAAGACCGCUCUUGCGAUCCCUCUGCUAAAAUCUGGCGUGUUGAGUUGGUGGAAGCUGUUAGCUGACUCUAUGCCCAAGGGAGAAGCAAGCAAAAUGUCUUGGGAAGACUUUGUGGAACAACUAAAACUGCAAUACUGCUCCGAGCAGGACCUUCUGGAAAUCAGUAAUGAGUUUCAGAAUUUGAAGAAAGGGAAAUUGAGCGUUACUGAAUACGCUGCAAGUUUCACAGAAAAGAUGAAGUUUAUCCCAUAUUUGGUGCCUACAGAACUCUCUAAGGUCAACAAGUUUGCCCUUGGACUACCAGCGGACUAUGGUCCAAUGGUUAAGCAAGCAACCACAUUGAAAGCCGCCAUCUGGGCUGCUAGAAAUGUUGAGACCCAGAUCAGGGAAAAAGGUCUGGAAAGGUCAGAGGUUGGCGAGAAAAGGAAAAUCGAUGGAUUUUCAGGGUCCAGCAAGAAAAGUAAAUUCUCGAAGUCUAGUUCGAGAGGAAGUGGAGGAAAGGUAGAGGCGAAAUGGUGCGACAAGUGCAAGAAGAAGCAUCAUGGGAAGUGUGGUGGGGAAACCACAUGCUUCAAAUGUGGAAAGCUAGGGCAUUAUGCCAAUGACUGCACCUUCACCAAGAAUGUUUGUUAUGGUUGUGGUGAGGAGGGGCACAUCUCAAGGGAUUGUCCGAAAAAGAAGGAAGCAGCAAGACCCAACAUUCCGCCAAAGCCAAAGGCGAGAGCAUUCCAGAUGACACUGGAAGCUGCUAAAGAUGAAGCUGAUGUCGCUUCAGGUACCUUUCUCGUUAACAAAUUGCCUGCCCAAAUUUUAUUUGAUUCUGGAGCCAACUACUCCUUUAUAUCGCAUGAAUUUGGUAGAAAACUAGCUUUGCCUGUUGAUAGACUAGAUAAUGCUUUAUUAGUCGAAGUUGCUAGUGGCAAGUUUGUACCUGUUAGCUAUCGUAUGAAAAACAUCUUAAUUGAUCUGAAUGGGAAUAAGUUCCACGAGGAAUUAUUGCCUAUCGAACUUAACGGUUUCGACAUCGUUUUGGGAAUGGAUUGGCUUAGCGCCAAUGAUGCCGAAAUUUUAUGCAAGAAGAAAAUAGUGAAAGUGAACCCGCCUGGGAAGGAAUCGUUUAUGGUGUACGGAGAUAAACGCAGAGUAAAUUCUGGAAUCAUUUCUCUAAUGAAAGCCAGAAAAUGUUUGACCAAGGGGUGUACAUCAUACUUAGCAUUCGUGAUCGAUGCUAAGAAGGAAAAGAAGGUGAUGCAAAAUAUUCCUGUUGUGUGUGAUUAUCCGGAAGUAUUUCCCGAAGAUCUUCCUGGAUUACCGCCCGAUCGACAAGUAGAAUUUCGUAUCGACUUGUUGCCCGGAACAACGCCAAUUGCAAAAGCACCUUAUCGAUUAGCACCGACGGAGAUGAAGGAGCUAAUGAUGCAACUUCAGGAGUUAUUGGACAAAGGUUUCAUUAGACCUAGUUCAUCACCCUGGGGAGCUCCGGUGUUAUUCGUAAAGAAGAAAGAUGGAAGCAUGAGGAUGUGCAUUGAUUACCGAGAGCUGAAUAAGGCAACAAUAAAGAAUAGAUAUCCGUUGCCAAGGAUUGAUGACCUAUUCGAUCAACUACAAGGUUCCAGUUAUUUUUCAAAGAUCGACCUGAGGUCAGGAUAUCAUCAGCUAAAAGUAAGAGAGCAGGAUAUAGAGAAGACUGCAUUCAGAACGCGAUAUGGACACUAUGAGUUUUUGGUUAUGUCGUUUGGACUAACCAAUGCUCCAGCAGCAUUCAUGGAUUUAAUGAACAGAGUUUGUAAUCCGUUCCUUGAUAAAUCUGUGAUAGUGUUCAUAGAUGACAUUCUGAUUUAUUCGAAAAGCCAAGAGGAGCAUGGCAGACACUUGCGAGAAGUGUUGGAAGUCUUGAAGAAGGAGAAGCUGUAUGCGAAGUUCUCCAAAUGUGAUUUUUGGAUUCGUGAAGUCCAAUUCUUGGGUCACGUGGUCAACCAAGAAGGGAUAAUGGUUGAUCCAGCGAAGAUCGAAGCUGUGAUGAAGUGGGAACAACCGAAAAGUCCCACGGAGAUCCGAAGCUUUUUAGGAUUAGCCGGAUAUUACCGAAGGUUUAUCCAAGGCUUUUCUUCGAUCGCUAGUCCAUUAACAGCUUUGACCCACAAAGGAGCUACUUAUGCUUGGAGUGAUAAGCAUAAAGAAGCAUUCGAGAAGCUAAAGAAGAAACUAUGCGAGGCACCGAUACUUUCUCUACCCGAUGGGGUUGAAGACUUCGCUGUUUAUAGCGAUGCGUCUGGGGUUGGAUUGGGUUGCGUUUUGACCCAAAGGGAUAAGGUGAUCGCAUAUGCGUCUCGACAGCUGAAAGAGCACGAAAAGAACUACCCGACUCAUGAUUUGGAGUUGGCAGCGGUAGUUUUCGCACUGAAAAUAUGGAGGCAUUACCUCUAUGGCACGAAGUGCAAACUUUUCACUGAUCAUAAGAGUCUCCAAUAUCUCUUUAGUCAGAAAGAAUUGAAUAUGAGGCAACGACGCUGGCUGGAAUUACUUAAGGACUACGACUGUGAGAUACUUUACCACCCCGGUAAGGCCAAUAUUGUUGCUGAUGCUCUCAGUCGGAAGGUCAAUCUUGAAAAGAAAAGGCCAAGAGCGUUGAGAAUUGAAGUUGUCUCGACUAUUUUGGAAAGUAUAAAGAAAGCUCAAAGCGAAGCUUCUGAGAAGAAUGACCGAAAGGAGGAACGUUUGGGCAAAACGUUGGUGUUCGGUGUAAACAGUCACGGACUGAAGGUGUUCCAAGAUCGGAUUUGGAUACCUAAGACAGGAGGAGUCAGAGAUCUUCUGAUGGAAGAAGCUCACAAAACCAUGUACUCGAUUCAUCCCGGUAGCACAAAAAUGUAUAGGGACCUGAAACCCUAUUAUUGGUGGCCGACGAUGAAGCUCGACAUUGCGAAGUAUGUGGCCGAGUGUGUGACCUGUGCAAGAGUCAAGGCACAACAUCAGAAACCAUACGGGAGUUUAGAACCAUUACCUGUGCCUAUGGGUAAGUGGGAAGACAUUGCUAUGGAUUUUGUCACUAAACUACCCAGAACAAAAAGUGGUCACGACAUGAUUUGGGUGGUCGUUGAUCGAUUCACUAAGAGUGCGCAUUUCAUAGCAGCCAAGGAGAAAUGGUCUAUGGAAAAGCUUGCGAAUUCUUACGUGAAGGAAAUUGUGAGGCUUCACGGUGUUCCGUUAACAAUUGUGUCGGAUCGUGAUAGUCGUUUCACCUCACGAUUUUGGAAAAGUCUACAAGAGGAAUUGGGUACCAAGUUGUGUUUAAGUACAGCUUACCAUCCGCAGACUGAUGGUCAGAGUGAAAGAACGAUACAAACACUUGAAGAUAUGCUGAGAGCGUGUACCUUGGAAUUCCUAGGUAAUUGGGAUGAACAUUUACCUUUGGUAGAAUUUUCCUAUAAUAAUAGUUUUCACUCGAGCAUAAAGAUGGCACCUUAUCAAGCAUUGUAUGGACAGAAGUGUCGUACGCCGUCUUGUUGGCUUGAGGCUGGGGAAAAGCAGUUUAUGGGACCGGAGUUGGUUCAUCAAACUGCUGAAAAGUUGAAAAUAAUUAGGGAAAGAAUGUUAGCAGCUCAGGACCGUCAAAAGAGCUAUGCUGACAAAAAGCGAAGACCGAUGACUUUUGAAGUUGGAGAUUCGGUUUUGCUUAAAGUCUCGCCGUGGAAGGGACUUAUAAGAUUUGGUAAAAGGGGAAAGUUAAGUCCAAGGUUUAUUGGACCGUUUAAAGUUCUUCAGAGGAUUGGGAACCAAGCUUACAAGCUCGAACUACCAGAAGAACUGAAUGGAAUUCAUAACACUUUUCAUGUGUGUUACUUGAGGAAGUUCACGGGAGAAGUUCCCGACAUAAUUCCACUUUCGGAGUUGAGGAUCGAUGAGAACAAAAGGUUGAUUGAGGAACCGGAGGCAAUCGUUGACCGAAAGACUAAGAAAUUGCGACGUAAGAUGGUUGAGUUAGUGCUUGUCCGAUGGAAACACACGAAUGGGCCGAAUCUCACCUGGGAGACGGAGAGUGACAUGAUGAGUCGCUAUCCGCAUUUGUUUGCUGGUGUGUGAUUCCGGGGACGGAAUCAUUCUAAGGUGGAGAGAAUUGUAACGCCCGUGUUUCUGGGAUUGCCAUUUUUAGCAAUGUAAUAGUCUAGGUUAACCUUUGUAACCCCAAUUUGAAAUAAUAAAAAUGUAUUAUUUGUGAAUUAUGUGAAUUAUGUGAUUUAUGUGUUUAUUUUCUUAAUUAUUAUAAUUUAAUGAAUUAAGAAUAAAAUAAGCGUCAAAAUUAAAGUGUGAGAUAAGCCCGAUAUCUUUGCAUAAAGUUGUAGUGGUUGAAACAAGGAUUCCGGAGAUAUAAGGAAUGCCAAAAUCCGAGUUAUAACGAAGAAGUUAUGACCUGUCGAAGUUUCGCGACAGAACCGGCACGACGUCGAGUGACGUAAAAUAUGAAUUUAAGAUAGAGCGAUAUUUAGCCUUAGCGAUCUAAACGAAAGUCGUAGAUUUCGUUAAACCGAGAGCGUGCAUAAAAGGAACGCCCAAAUCUGACUUCGUAUGAGGAAGUUAUGAUUUUUCUAAGUUUCGACUUAGCAGUAUGCAGCCCGAAUACUCGAUUUGAGAUCGAGCGGUUUUUAGCCGAAACAAUCUAAAUGAGAAUCGAAGAUCUCGUUGUUAGUAGCGAAACGAUGAAAAGUUAGGCGAGAACGGACGUCAGACGAAGAAGUUAUGAAUUUAUAACGAAGUUUUUCUGUCCCGGCCUUCUAAAAAUAAAUAAUAAAAAUAAAAGUCAAAAUUAGCCGACGGAGUCUAAAUGAAAGUUGUAGAGUAUGGUCUGACCUUCGCGUGGAUAUAAAGAACGUCGAAAACGGAGCUCGUAUGCGAAAGUUACGCAAUUUAGAAGUUCGACGAGUCAAUUACGCCCCGCGUAAUUGAGUACGCCCCGCGUACUCAGUCGGAUGCAACUUGUCUGACCAAUACUCGAGUGCCACAGAUCGACGCAUGCAGUGACGUCAAAGUACGCCCCGCGUAACCGAGUACGCCCCGCGUACUGAGUACGCCCUGCGUAAUUUGAGAUUACGCCCCGCGUAAUCCCAGACCCUCAGCCUAUAAAUAGAACUCGAAAUCAGCCAUUUUCUCUUGUUCAAACUCUUCCCUCUCUCUAAGUUUUGCCUCGAUUUGCGUGCCAAUCAUAUCCCGAAGCCCCGGUAUCAUUCCCGAGCCCCGAAGCAAGAUCCGAAGCCCCGAGGAUCCCGAAGAGCGUUAUUCCCGAGCCGAAGCUCUGCCCGCGAGGAGUUCGAUUUUGGUGAAGAUCUUCCAGAUCUAUCGAAGUAUACUACUUCUAUAAGCCGUAGUGCUGUCGGAUCAUCUUCUGAUCAAGUGAGUGUGUAGUUAUUUUCUUUCCAACGCAAUAUUAUGAAGUAUUUAAUAUAAAAUACGUGCUACGUGUAUAUAUUUUGUGGUUAUAUGUGUGAAUGUAUAUUCACUCUCUUCUAUCUCAUAGAUCUGAUAUAUUCUCUAUGAAAUACGUGUUAUGUGUGUAUGCCUCAUCUGUUAUGUGGAAUAUGUAUUGAUUAAAGCAUGCUAUACAGGUUUUUAAACAAUGUAUAAAAAUGUAUAUUUUUAUCUACUAAUAUGUU
rnacentral:lncRNA from 1 species